UCCUGAAUCCUGCCCUGCAUUGACGAGGACAGGGUUGGGGCGUCAAGGACAUUUAAGACGGAAAUAAGCAGAAGAGUUCCACACUCUUCCACCUAGGGGUCUGACCUGGUGUCUGCGUCUCAGUCCAGCUGUAAACACAGUUCACACUCAUUCACUCCAGGUGAACACAAGCCUUGUCGCCUCUGGGACUUGGGGCCGGAGCCCCCUCCUCCAGGAUGUCCUCCUGGACUUCUCUGCUCACCUGCCGCUAGGCCUUCGCACCCACAGUGCCCGACAGCAGCCUUCUGUUCCGUAAGCCUGGGGAGUGCAGGGCCCAGCACAGAUUGGGCCUCCCUCUCCUGGCCUCUUGGUGACUCACUGAACUGAACGCCAAGAGCUACAAGAAAGUCCGGUUUUCUGGCUCUUAGAGAAUUGGCAGGAUCCUGGACAGACUCUGUCCCUCCCCCCUGUCAAACCGAUUCCAACUCUCUAUCUGUGGCUGAAUCAGAAGAUCCUUGGCCCUCUUGACAGCCCUGCCUGCCUCUUUGGGAAAAGCAUGUGUUGGAAACUCAACCCUCAAAGCCGCAAUGCUGGGCAGUGGGGCCUGGUGGAUGACAGAGUGUGAAGCCCCUCGCAGGAUGCCGGCACCUGUCUUGGACUUCCCACCCUCCAGAACUGUGAGCCAAAUACAUUUCUGUUUGUUAUAAAUCACCCACUGUGUGCUAUCCUGAUACAACAGCAGAAAAUGGACAAAGACAUUCCCUGUCUGCCUCCCCUCGACACCAUCCUCCACACCACUCUUGUCUCUUUGUGUCCCUGUCCCCGUCACACUGUGAGGUUUUGCUUAGUCAUCUUCCGUCCCAGCACCUGGGAAGUGUUCUCAAACAAGUGCCCAGUAAAUAAAUACUGAAUGAAUGAAUGAA